GGCUGGAGUCAGGGACCUCCUCACCCACUCCCAGAGGUAAAUAGCAAAACCAGGACCCGGAGUGCCGGCCUCCCAGUCCCCUGCGCUUGCGCCAAAGCCCUUGCUGUCCUCCCACUGAGCUGGCCCCGGCCCCGCCUCACCCGAUUCUCUGCUGCUCCAGGACGUCGAGCCGCUCUGCCCUCUGGAUGACCUGCAGGAUGGCCUCCACCUCCGCCGGGCUGAGGUGCUGCUUCCUCCUCUGCUUCUCCGUCUGGUAGGUGUGCACGGACCAGCCCGUCUGCAGCCUCGAGAGGGAACAGCACAGACGGCGUGGAGGCCUCCCCGGUGCAAACUCCGGCAGCCCCUACCACAUCCACCAAGCCCCCCCGAGAACAGUCAGUGGACGGCCCAGGUGCCGCGUGCCGGGACGACGAGCGCGGGCAGCAGAGAUGGCCCAGGUGGCAACAGAGAUGGCCCAGGUGGCAACAGAGACGGCCCAGGUGGCAACAGAGACGGCCCAGGGAGAGAGUGGCAGCAGCAGAUCAAACCCCGGAGCCCCUGCCCUGGGUGGGUGCCAGCUUCCCUGAGACAUUCCGUGCCUGUGACAUUGCUGUGUGCAGAGAUGAACGAGACGGGAAAAGCCACUGCACCCUGAAGAACUACAAUAUGGUGGGGGUGGCAGAUGCCAAUCAAUG
rnacentral:lncRNA from 1 species